CGAACAAAAGCGAUUUUUUUCCUGGUCUCACUUUGAUUUCCCAUUUGUUGCAUGUUUUGCCCGUUCGCUGCUGACCGUGUACGCCACAGUGGUAUAACGUCAAAAAAGCCUCGUAUAAUGUUUGUAAACAGUAUACAGUACAACUACCGAGACUGUUUACAUAUUUACACAAUGUAUGCAACUCGUUUACGCUAGGUUAACAGUGUAGUAACUUCAGGCAUCCACGCUAGGUGGUGAUACUGAUGCGAACAAAUUUCGGAACCAUGUUUUGAAUUGGACUUGGCUCC